UACGUAGGUGGCAAGCGUUUGUCCGGAAUUAUUGGGCGUAAAGCGCGCGCAGGCGGUUUCUUAAGUCUGAUGUGAAAGCCCCCGGCUCAACCGGGGAGGGUCAUUGGAAACUGGGAAACUUGAGUGCAGAAGAGGAAAGUGGAAUUCCAAGUGUAGCGGUGAAAUGCGUAGAGAUUUGGAGGAACACCAGUGGCGAAGGCGACUUUCUGGUCUGUAACUGACGCUGAGGCGCGAAAGCGUGGGGAGCAAACAGG
rnacentral:rRNA from 1 species